rnacentral:ncRNA from 1 species
UUCUUCGGGGCAGGGUGAAAUUCCCGAUCGGCGGUAAAGUCCGCGAGCGUUUAACGCAGGACUUGACAUUGGUUCAAGUCAGGAUAUGGUGAAAUUCCAUAACCGACAGUAUAGUCUGGAUGAGAGAAGAG